rnacentral:rRNA from 1 species
GAUGAACGCUAGCUACAGGCUUAACACAUGCAAGUCGAGGGGAAACGACAUCGAAAGCUUGCUUUUGAUGGGCGUCGACCGGCGCACGGGUGAGUAACGCGUAUCCAACCUGCCCACCACUUGGGGAUAACCUUGCGAAAGUAAGACUAAUACCCAAUGACGUCUCUAGAAGACAUCUGAAAGGGAUUAAAGAUUUAUCGGUGAUGGAUGGGGAUGCGUCUGAUUAGCUUGUUGGCGGGGUAACGGCCCACCAAGGCGACGAUCAGUAGGGGUUCUGAGAGGAAGGUCCCCCACACUGGUACUGAGACACGGACCAGACUCCUACGGGAGGCAGCAGUGAGGAAUAUUGGUCAAUGGGCGCAGGCCUGAACCAGCCAAGUCGCGUGAGGGAGGACGGUCCUACGGAUUGUAAACCUCUUUUGUCGGGGAGUAACGUGCGGGACGCGUCCCGUAUUGAGAGUACCCGAAGAAAAAGCAUCGGCUAACUCCGUG